rnacentral:rRNA from 1 species
UACAGAGGGUGCAAGCGUUAAUCGGAAUUACUGGGCGUAAAGCGUGCGUAGACGGUUGCGUAAGUCAGAUGUGAAAGCCCCGGGCUCAACCUGGGAAUUGCAUUUGAGACUGCGUAGCUAGGGUGCGGAAGAGGGAAGCGGAAUUUCCGGUGUAGCGGUGAAAUGCGUAGAUAUCGGAAGGAACACCGGUGGCGAAGGCGGCGACCUGGUCCAUUACUGACGCUGAGGCGCGACAGCGUGGGGAGCAAACAGG